rnacentral:rRNA from 1 species
GGGCAUUUGGACAUGGGCGAAAGCCUGAUCAGCCAUGCCGCGUGUGUGAAGAAGGUCUUCGGAUUGUAAAGCACUUUAAGUUGGGAGGAAGGGUUGUAUACUUAAUACUCUGCUAUUUUGACGUUACCGACAGAAUAAGCACCGG